UACGGAGGGGGCUAGCGUUGUUCGGAAUUACUGGGCGUAAAGCGCACGUAGGCGGCUUUGUAAGUUAGAGGUGAAAGCCCAGGGCUUAACCCUGGAAUUGCCUUUAAGACUGCAUCGCUAGAAUCGUGGAGAGGUAAGUGGAAUUCCGAGUGUAGAGGUGAAAUUCGUAGAUAUCGGGAGGAACACCGGUGGCGAAGGCGGCGAUCUGGGUAGAUACUGACGCUGAGGUGCGAAAGCGUGGGGAGCAAACAGG
rnacentral:rRNA from 1 species